GGGGGUGUAGCUCAGUUAGCGUAGAGCACUUGUCUGUCGAACAAGUCGUCGCGGGUUCGAGUCCCGUCACUCCCG
rfam:Oscillatoria acuminata PCC 6304, complete genome.